rnacentral:misc_RNA from 1 species
AAUUCUCAAUCUCCUAUUCUUUGUGAUAGGCUGGUUGGAUCAUGGGUGUUUGCUGGCGUUGUCAGCUCACCUGAAAUGAAUUUGCGAUGUUGUGUCCUUGUGAGUUGGCCCGACUAGGCGUGAUGGUGAUAACGUUCGUCUAGGAUCCCGCUUCGGCGAGGAGCCGCUCCUGUUGGGCUUUAUCGUUGCACUCUUUAUAUAUCUUUGG